rnacentral:pre_miRNA from 1 species
UGGGGGCCGUUGACCUCGUGGGUCUGCCUUGCUCGUUCUGCUCGCUCGCGGGAGCAAUUUGGCAGGAGCCACAGAGGGUCCGCCGGGCCGUG